GCUCUCCCCGCGACCAGCGGCCAACCUCACAGUGCUAAUGCAAACCGCGCAGCUUAAUGACGGCGCUCCCGUGGCUCUCAGCGCUCAGAUCACAACAUGAAUUGCCAGUGUGAAUUAACAAAGCUUAAAAGCGAAGAUGCAAGGACUUCACGUUUCAUGCUGCUUCAGAUAGAGACAGAUCCAAGGAACGUGGUGGAAGUGAAGCAUCUGCCAUGCAGCCGUGGACGAGGCCCUGAGACUCAAAGCGAGAUGGUCACCAUGACAGAACGCAGAAUGUGCCACGGCCAGGGAGACUCUGAGCCCCGGCUCUUUGCAGACCGAGAUGAAUCAGGAAUAAAUGUUUCCUUUCAAGUGCUGCAGCUCUUCCCAUCCUCGCCGAGACCAUAAUACCCAACCCCUCCCCCAUGCAUUAAGCAGGGGCAUAUCUGCCAAGGGCCAAAUAUUUACUGUGGGGGUUAACUAACUGCAUCUACAAGGUGCCCUCUGCUGCCUGGGAUUAGAUCCAAGCCCCCCCAGUAACUGUACUCUAGAUAAGUGGUUGGAAGAUGGAUGGAUAGAUGGAUAGAUGCAUUGAUGGAUGGUUACUAGUAAAUUUCAUAUCAUAGCUUAUCAUAUCAUAGAUACUCUCUACAAACUUCUUUUGUCCUGUCCAGACAAGUAAGUGCGUCCAUCCUCCAUAACAGUAAAAUUUUAUUACUAUGAUAGUAUGACAUUGCACUAAACGAGGUGAUUAAACUGCUGCUUGUAUAUAAAUAAUUAAAAAAUCUGCAUGGAUGUUUUCUGCCAUCGAUUAUGCAUGUUGUAUAUUGAUGAUCCAAAAUGUUAUUUAUUCUUUCAAUAUAAUUUUCAAUUUGAUCUAAUGCGUAAAUAGGUUAAAUGGAUCAAAAGUUUACAUGUAAUGGAUGGUAAUUGCUAUUGCAUCUGAGUAAUAUGAAAAU